rnacentral:rRNA from 1 species
UAGGGAAUCUUCCACAAUGGACGCAAGUCUGAUGGAGCAACGCCGCGUGAGUGAAGAAGGCUUUCGGAUCGUAAAGCUCUGUUGUUGGUGAAGAAGGAUAGAGGCAGUAACUGGUCUUUAUUUGACGGUAAUCAACCAGAAAGUCACGGCUAACUACGUGCCAGCAGCCGCGGUAAUACGUAGGUGGCAAGCGUUGUCCGGAUUUAUUGGGCGUAAAGCGAGCGCAGGCGGAAUGAUAAGUCUGAUGUGAAAGCCCACGGCUCAACCGUGGAACUGCACCGGAAACUGUCAUUCUUGAGUGCAGAAGAGGAGAGUGGAAUUCCAUGUGUAGCGGUGAAAUGCGUAGAUAUAUGGAAGAACACCAGUGGCGAAGGCGGCUCUCUGGUCUGCAACUGACGCUGAGGCUCGAAAGCAUGGGUAGCGAACAGG